rnacentral:rRNA from 1 species
GAUGAACGCUGGCGGCGUGCCUAAUACAUGCAAGUCGAGCGAAGCUGGUACUGGUGAGUAACACGUGGAUAACCUCCUAUAAGUCUGGGCUCACUUCUGGAAACCUGUGCUAAACCGGAUACUUAUAGUUGGAUCUUCGCUGCAUUAGCUAUUUGGUAAGGUAACGGCUUACCAAGGCAACGAUGCAUAGCCGACCUGAGAGGGUGAUCGGCCACACUGGAAAUGAGAAACGGUCCAGACACCUAAGGGAGGCAGCAGUAGGGAAUCUUCCGCAAUGGGCGAAAGAAUGAAGGAGCAACGCCGCGUAAGUGAUGAAGGUCUUCGGAUCGUAAAACUCUGUUAUUAGGGAAGCGGUACCUAAUCAGAAAGCCACGGCUAACUACGUGCCAGCAGCCGCGGAAAUUC